rnacentral:rRNA from 1 species
UAGGGAAUCUUCCACAAUGGACGCAAGUCUGGUGGAGCAACGCCGCGUGAGUGAAGAAGGUUUUCGGAUCGUAAAGCUCUGUUGUUGGUGAAGAAGGAUAGAGGUAGUAACUGGCCUUUAUUUGACGGUAAUCAACCAGAAAGUCACGGCUAACUACGUGCCAG